UAAUGUGUAGCGGAAAACUCGUCAAUUCUGAGAGCAGGAAUCUUGGGAAUUAUUUUUCCCUUUUCUCCCGGUAUCUUAUAUUUUUUGCCAUUUUUCUGGAAUUCUCUAAUCAGCCCUCACUGAUAAAUAAAUGAAAUGAAUUUCUAACUCCCUUCAUAACUCCUUUAUAACUCCUCCUUCUAUGUCCCAGCUAUUAUUCUCAGAACUUUUAUCAUUUAAUCUAUCUUUUUCUAAAAUACUACUAAUGUCUUUGUGUUCCAGGUGAAUAAGCAGAGGCGCAGAGCGGUUAAGUAAUGUGCUCAUUGACUGUGGCUGGUUAUCAGUGAAGUGGAGGUUGGAACCCAGGAUAACUGCGAAGAAGUUUGCUUUUCUUUAUAAACCACUUUUCUUUAUAAACCAUUUAUUCUGCCCCUCUACCACCCCCACUGAAAUAUCUCUUUUUGUGUUUGAAUCUUAUAGAUAAACACCAUUUUUCAACAAAAAUUUGUUCUCCUCAGGGAAAUUAUAUUACGGUUCAUUGAUUGACUGAUUCACAUAUCAGAGUAGGCACUACCUCAUCUUCUUGGAACCAGGAAGAAUUGUUGUAACUGAUCAUUUUCCCUAGCAGUUCACAGUAGUACCAGAGGGCGAUUUGUAGCCUAGUAGUCAGAACCACCCAGAAAUGUUACCUGCCAAAGCCCAGGAGGACUGCAGACCUUGGAGAAAGGAGAGGGGCCAUGGCUUUAGGGGAACUUGCGUUUGCCUCUCUUGGUGUCCAGGAAUGUGAAGCUUGGGUGCACGCUGUGGUCCAGAUCCUGGGGGACAGUCCUUGCAACUGGGUCUCCUGGGAUUGUGCACCGUCAGCCAGUGGGGAAGACGUUUCAGCAGGAGCCUUGAGGUGACUGGCCCACUGCUGUAGCAGCUGCCCUGCCUCUCCCUUGCGGACCAGCAUCAGAAUCCUCAGUGUUAAAUGGACUCAUCAUCCGUGUCAUUUUGCAUCAUCAGUCUUUGGGGCUGCACCUUGUGUAUUCCCCAUUUCUUGAGGUUGCCAGAGCCCCAAGUCUGCUUCUUGACCCGUGAUGUUCCUCGGAUUUGCCAGAGUGAUGG